rnacentral:lncRNA from 1 species
UAAAGACUUUCUAAGUCAAGCCGUUUCAAGAUUUAGCACAACAUAAUGUUGCACUUUUUUUGAUGACAUCCGAUUGUUUAUUGCGACUCCGCGCGGCAAUGUGCUUCCUUCUACAUUCUUGGCUUUGACUUUACGCGACUGAACUGCCUCUCAGUUCGUUCAACGUAUGAUACGAUAAUAUACUGUUAUUCUACCGCUCGUUUUACAUACGCUUACAAAUGGUAAUAUUGUACCUAAUUUCAACAACUGUCCUUAAUGUUACCAUUUUUCAAUUAAUUUCUCAAAAAUUUACACAACAUUUCUCAUGUAUAAGUUUUGACAAAAUCUUUUUUACAUGUCGGCUAUUAUUAAACAUAUCGUUCAAAAUCGCU